UUGAGAUGAGUUUUCCCUGACGCUAUAAGCGUCCUAAAGGGUUGUCGUAGACUACGACGUUGAUAGGCAGGGUGUGUAAGUGCUGCGAGGCAUUGAGCUAACCUGUACUAAUUGCCCGUGAGGCUUAACCAUACAACACCCAAGGGGUUU
rnacentral:rRNA from 1 species